rnacentral:rRNA from 1 species
AUGGUUGACUCAACCCAAUCCAAGUCGGCCGGGCUGCAGUUUCAGUACAAUGAAGAUGACAUAUCCAACAUGGUAUCCUUUGCGGAUGAAGAACAUGAGUCAAGAGGCAUGUAUAAUGCCAGCUAUUUGCUAUCCAGAAUGCCAGCUAUUGAUUUGAUGACUCAUUGGGAUUUGAGCAAUAUGUGGACUAUGCAUGGGACGUCCCGAUGUAUUUUGUAUACCGGAACAAGAAUUACAUUGACUGUACUGGAAUGUCAUUUUGGAUCUCUUCCUGUCUCUAAUAUCUUAGCUUUCAUGGCAGGAAAGCUCCCACAGGUUCCAAGGGAGAUGCCCACUUUGAUUGAUUGGGAGAACCAUCUAACGACAAUUUUUCCUGAGGUUAGGUUGAAGAUAUACCUGGAGAUGGGAGGUGCUGAUGGUGGACCUUGGAUGAGAUUGUGUGCUUUGCCUGCAAUUUGGGUUGGGUUGUUGUAUGACGAUGAAUCACUACAGAGCAUUAUUGACAUGACUGCUGACUAG